rnacentral:rRNA from 1 species
GUCUACAGCCAUACUACCCUGAAUACACCCAAUCUUGUCUGAUCUCAGAAGCUAAGCGGGAUGGGGCCUGGUUAGUACUUAGAUGAGAGAAAUAAAGAAAAUAUAUAUA